UGGGGAAUCUUGCACAAUGGGGGCAACCCUGAUGCAGCGACGCCGCGUGAGCGAUGAAGCCCUUCGGGGCGUAAAGCUCUUUCGACCGGAACGAUAAUGACGGUACCGGGAGAAGAAGCUGCGGCUAACUACGUUCCAGCAGCCGCGGUAAUACGUAGGCAGCAAGCGUUGUUCGGAGUUACUGGGCGUAAAGAGUGCGUAGGCGGUUUUCUAAGUUCGGUGUGAAAUCUCCCGGCUUAACUGGGAGGGUGCGCCGAAGACUGGGAAGCUGGAGUGUGGGAAAGGCAGGCGGAAUUCCUGGUGUAGCGGUGAAAUGCGUAGAUAUCAGGAGGAACACCGGCGGUGUAGACGGCUUGCUAGACCAUAACUGACGCUGAGGCACGAAAGCGUGGGUAGCAAACA
rnacentral:rRNA from 1 species